AUGGCGCCAUCGACCAAGCUCUUCCUCCUGCUCCUCGGCUUGAACCUGAUGGUCGCCGAUGUGCACGGUGGCUGCGGAGCCCACUGCCCGACUCCGCCGCCACCGUCGACGACCAACGGCUCGUGUCCGAUCGACACGCUGAAGCUGGGCGUGUGCGCCAAGGUGCUGAACCUGCUAAAGCUUGGGCUCGGUGUGCCGCACAGCGAGACGUGCUGCCCGCUGCUGGCCGGUCUGGCCGACCUGGACGCCGCGGUGUGCCUCUGCACCGCCACCAGGGCCAAGGUCCACGGCGUCAUCAACCUCAACGUCCCCAUCGACAUAGUGCUCCUGCUCAACCAGUGCCACAAGACCUGCCCGCCCGGCUUCACCUGCCCGCUCUGA
rnacentral:rRNA from 1 species